UACAGAGGGUGCGAGCGUUGUUCGGAAUUAUUGGGCGUAAAGGGUGCGUAGGCGGCUCUAUAAGUCGGGUGUGAAAUCCCACGGCUCAACCGUGGAAGUGCAUUCGAAACUGCAGAGCUUGAAUAUGGUAGAGGGUAGUAGAAUUCCUGGUGUAGUGGUGAAAUACGUAGAUAUCAGGAGGAAUACCGGUGGCGAAGGCGGCUACCUGGACCAAUAUUGACGCUGAGGAACGAAAGUGCGGGGAUCAAACAGG
rnacentral:rRNA from 1 species